rnacentral:rRNA from 1 species
CCUACGGGAGGCAGCAGUGGGGAAUAUUGCACAAUGGGGGAAACCCUGAUGCAGCGACGCCGCGUGAGUGAAGAAGUAUCUCGGUACGUAAAGCUCUAUCAGCAGGGAAGAAAAUGACGGUACCUGACUAAGAAUCCCCGGCUACCUACGGGCCAGCAGCCGCGGUAAUACGUAGGGGGCAAGCGUUAUCCGGAUUUACUGGGGGUAAAGGGAGCGGAGACGGCAGCACAAGUCUGGAGUGAAAUCCCGGGGCUUAACCCCGGGCCUGCUUUGGAAACUGUUCGGCUGGAGUGCAGGAGGGGUAAGCGGAAUUCCUAGUGUAGCGGUGAAAUGCGUAGAUAUUAGGAGGAACACCGGUGGCGAAGGCGGCUUACUGGACUGUAACUGACGUUGAGGCUCGAAAGCGUGGGGAGCAAACAGGAUUAGAUACCCGGGUAGUC